rnacentral:lncRNA from 1 species
ACACUUGUGUUACUGUUGUUGUUGUCAGUUGGAAGAAAGCUCAGAUACUUUGAAUUUUUUCACUUUUGUACCCAAAAAUGACAAAUGAUUUAUAUUGCUUCAAGAAAUAACUUCCGGGAUUGUGUGCCAGGAGGUUUGAGUUUGAGGCAAACAGGACUCCCCACAGGACUCUCCCUUGGACAGACGCCAGUUCUCUCUUCUCUCUGUGUGGGCCAGGGGGUUUGAGGCAAACAGGACUCCCCACAGGACUCUCCCUUGGACAGACGCCAGUUCUCUCUUCUCUCUGUGUGGGCCAGGGGGUUUGAGGCAAACAGGACUCCCCACAGGACUCUCCCUUGGACAGACGCGAGUUGUCUCCUCUCUCUGUGUGGGCCAGGAGGUUUGAUUCAAACAAGACUCCCCACAGGACUCUCCCUUGGACAGACGCCAGUUCUCUUCUCUCUCUCUGUGUCUGCUUGUUUUGCUUACAGGUAUUUCUGCUGAUGUGAAUUAUAAAUAUAUAUAUAACAUUUUUCAUAAAAAUGUUUCCGUUGACAAUUGGCCAUGUACAUAUAUAUAUAUAAACGUACACUUUUCACAAAAGUGUUUGUUCAGUCUUGUAUUGCUUCAAAAGCAACGCUCAUUCUUUCAUUUCCCUGGUGAUGUAUGAUGAGCACGGUAUAUCCAAUAUGUUUGUGCUUUUUCAUCAGUGGUAAGACUAAUGAAGUCAUAUAUAUAUAGAAAUAAAUAUAUGAUCUAUAUAUUGUUUGUCUAUGUUUCCCACCCCCAUCAACACUGUCACUAGUUGGAUGGUUCAGGUCAACUCUGUCACUAGUUGGAUGGUUCAGAUCAACACUGUCACUAGUUGGAUGGUUCAGGUCAACUCUGUCACUAGUUGGAUGGUUCAGAUCAACUUUUGAGAUCAGUCACUAGUUGGAUGGUUCACAUCAACACUGUCACUAGUUGGAUGGUUCAGAUCAACACUGUCACUAGUUGGAUGGUUCAGGUCAACACUGUCACUAGUUGGAUGGUUCAGAUCAACUCUGUCACUAGUUGGAUGGUUCAGAUCAACACUCACUAGUUGGAUGGUUCAGAUCAACUCUGUCACUAGUUGGAUGGUUCAGAUCAACACUCACUGGUUGGAUGGUUCAGGUCAACACAGUCACUAGUUGGAUGGUUCAGAUCAACACUCACUAGUUGGAUGGUUCAGACCAACACUGUCACUAGUUGGAUGGUUCAGACCAACACUGUCACUAGUUGGAUGGUUGAGGAGGCCGGCUGAUAUACCCUGCCUGUAGGGGCCGGCCUAGACUGAGUGAGACUCGAUACAUCUCGGCAGACAGACGGUACAUCCCGGUAGACAGACGGAGACAGGCCCCAUCAAACGUGAGGCCUCGUGGCGGAAUCAGGCGCUCGUAUUUGUAAAAUAACGAAAUUGGAGAACAGGCAAUUUUUCCACCAGUUUGGAAAUGUUUAUAGAAUUUUGGUUUUUGGCUUAACCUCUUUUAAGUUAAUAUCUAAAAUACACAUUUCCUGGUGAAUUUAACUGAGAAAACAUUGAAAGAAAAUACGUCGUUUUUCAGUUGUUUCAGACUCUUUGUUACCAAACUUUGACUUUGAGCCAUUUUCUCGCUAAUUUCUCCACUGAAACCAAGCGACCUCACUUCCUUCAAUGGCAGAUAUCUUGAAUUCAUGGAUAUAUUUAUUUCAUUUGUAGCGAGGCAAACAGAUGAGCGUUCAGAGGAUAGCAAUAACACAAAACAUUGACGAGCACCAGAUUCCAGCACGUGGUGACACAAAUGUCUCCCCACGUGGGUAUCGAACUCACAUCUUCUGCGUGUGGUAGUGAAGAGCCUAGCCAUAACUUCAUUGUGAAAGCCCGCAGUAGUUGAGUGUACUUUUGGGCCGAAAGUUUUUCAAGUUUUCAAAGCGUGCCUAUUAUUAUUUUAUUGAAAUCAUUUUUACAAAGAAAUGACUUUUCUUCAGAGUAAUUUGAUUAAGAUGACAUCAGGUUGGGUUUUUUUUCCCCCUCCUGCGUGCUGGCUUGGUUUCGGGCGGUGAGUUGUGGUUUGGUGCGUGGAUUUUCUCCCAGCUUUCUGUACACGAGGCGAGAAAAUUGUAGGUGUUGGUUACAAGGGAAAUUAUUGUUUGCCUGCUCUUCGUUGACCAAUGGCACAACCACCAGCUCAGGAGAAACCAGCGGGUGCUUUGAGUGGUUGUUACACGUAUAUUUCUUCUUCCAGGAAUUUCUAGCGUGGGCUCCUCAAAACUGUUGUUCAGUUACAAUAUAUAUAUAUCUGUUAGCAAUGUGUUUUGCUAGUCAGCUUUACUUAGGGUGGGUGUGGGGGGGGGGGGGCGCUGUUCUUGCCUGCCAAUGGUGGAAUCUGGAACUUUCUGAGCUUUAUUGUUAGUUUUUUCAACUGAUGGACAGAAAGUGCCAAAAUGUCCUGGACCUUGAGAGACUUUUCCUCGUUUGUGUUUUGUUCUUUCAAACUGAAAUAGAAGGCAAUUUGCAGUCGCAGAAAUUCAAUAAAUUUUGCCGAAAAAUU